GAGCGUAGUAGUAAUUGUAAUCGUGUUUAAACCAAAUAACUGAAUAACGUUUUUAGACUUUCUCUUUUCGCCUUGUUCGGAGGCGUGAGUAUCGGAAAAGGAUAUUUAACAGGUUUAGAACUGUGCUAAUGAAAUAACCUGAGAUUUUGAUGGAAUUUAGGUAGAGCUGUAUCUUCCCUCGGCGAUUGAUCUAAGAACAAGUAUCAUCCCUGUACGACGUGCAAGGAAUCAACGUGCUAGAAAGGGCUUCAUUUGAAGUCUAGGUGGCACGGUUACGGUGCUUGUCUUCGUACACUGGGUAAGGGGUAAUCCUGCCUUCUUAGGGAACGCUGGACUAUUCUUCAUUUGUCCCUCUACAGUCGUGUAUGUACUUGCAAUCGUGGGCUUAGUUAGGUGGUGCUUCUACUAACUUUAUGACUUUCGUGUUAUCCAUUUAAUGGUAUGGGUAGUCAUAACGAUCGCCAGUGGUACAACUGUCAGAACCUCGAACAAAAGGGAGACGCCAGACGUGCAAGUCCCGUAAGGAACCUUUUCACAGGUCCGAAGGGUGUCCGCAUCGUGAGAUCGAGUCGGAACAACUUGAAGAAGAAGAACUUCCAUCAUCAGAACCAUCCGAACAACUUUUGUACAAACAAGAAGGGAAACAAGAACAAGACACCCAUGGAGACGUGGUACAAUCGUCAUCCGACUUGGAGUGGAGGAAAAAGUCACCAUAGAAAUCGGGCUCGAAAAAGAAGUUGUAGUUCUCUACGUUAGUCUAAAAGUUAACUAUAGAGGACAGAGAAUACGAAGUCUCAACACCGCUUUAAGGAGGUACUUCCUCCGUUAAAACGUUAGUACGUGGGUCGGUGCUUAAACAGCCCAUCUUGUGUAAAUUCCUCAAGUACAAGGAAGUGUUACGUGACAUGAGUACUCGAACAAGUUGGUGUCUUGCCAAUAAGUGGUAGAACAUCAGUACUUUUGAGAGGUACUACAUGUCAAGUGACGGACGUAGACAACGUGGCUUAAAACGUAAGUCACGUAGGGUGUCUUAAAAAGGCAGCAAAUACACGUACAUGUGUAAUGUGUCUGCCAGUCGUUCUUGUGAGUCUUACGUAGGGUGUUUGUAUCAUAACCGAAGGACCUUAAAAGAGGCUAGAAGCAGCCAGUAAGGGAGACCUCGUGGUUGUGAUCGCACCUUUUGAAAGUCUCGUCAUUCGGUCUCGCACCAGAAGUGGACGGUGGAGAAUUUCACGUGUGGCCAUUUGAAUAGGCCGGAGUCACGUAGUCGCUUAGGUCGGUAUCAAUUGAGUCCUUUAACGGAUCUUAAUCCAAAAACCUAACAACCUUAUAAUCCGUUCAAGUACUAAUUAAGGUCAUUUAUUAAGUACUGAUCUUCUCUAGGAUCGUACGUUAUUAGAUCGUUUGAUCUUCUUGUCGUUCUGUACGUAUUGUCGUCGUUUGUGCAUUGUUAUCGACAUCUUUGUCUGUACUUGUCUCCUACAACCUGCAUGACUAGCAAUCGAUAAUACCCACGCUGUCACAACUACUACUACAACCGCUGCUAGACGACGACUGCCGCUACUUAUGCUGCUACUCAUCGUGGCGGGCUGAACUUGCCUUCUGCUGGGCACUACUGCUUAAACUCGUCAGCACGUGUCGCGAAGGGUUUUUGGAUUAAGCAGGAGAGGGCCACGUCCUAGCGUUUCUGCUUGCCAAGGCCUCUGGACGAGAGGGUGCGCGGCUACGUGCGGCCGCAAACCCUACCUCAUCUGAUGCUACCGCCGCGUUCAACACUCUACUCCGUUUUGGGAUCCACAAAAGCCACACAGAGACCGGCGUCGGCCAUCGACAUAUAUAUAAUCCUGGUCUCCGCCAUAACACAGCGCUGGUGUUAGGGUUGGGCUGAGCCAAAGAUUAAGCAUAUGAAUGGCCUGUUCUUUAGUUUUUGAACAGACGGUUCUGUAUUUUUAUUUUGCCGUUUUCCUUCGACGCGAGGACGUUCCUCUGCCUGGCCUAAAGCCGCCUGGUAAGCGGAGCGGAGCUCGCGCACGCACACCAAAAGGGAAAGAGAAGAGUGUGUGGUGAAUCUCACCACCUCUCUUGGGUGAUAUAUUUCUCCAGGUUGAGAAAAAGUUGAAGGUUCCACCCUGAUUUGAAUCGUGGUGGUGAACGGUAAAAUGUGUACCCGAAACGCUAAAGUCUUUAACGAUACCCGGAUCGGGUAAUUAAGAUUGUUAUGUUACAUACAUACUGCUACUGGUCAACGUGAUUUGGUCUUAACCUAUUUCCUGUACUCUUUAAAUACAUAAGGUCGAAAUACCCCGUUAAUACGUUACUUUGUCGGAAGAAAAAUUUGAGCUAAAAUCAACCCGGCCUUAUGUGUUGGGUAGUCUUUUCAUUUGAUUUCCAUUUCCAAGGGGCCCUUAGAACUCCUAUGUCAACUCACAUGUUCUUCGAAUGCUGCCACAUACUCUCUAGAGGAAGUCACUUCCAGUCUGCAUGAGCACGAUAACAACAAUUUUUUUUCUCCCACCGUAACGGUGGUACUACACCUGUUACGUGAAUUAUGUAUAACACUAUCUACUUUGUGGGGGUUAGACCGGACUCGACCCUUAUCCAGGAGGCCCUUAGUACGACUAAAACAAUAUAGUGUCAGCUGCUUUUCCUUGGUAGUCAAAUUAACUUGUUCUUGUGGUAACUGUUUACUGUUGUGUUUGUAUCUACGGUACUGUUUCUACCUUAUAAUUCACGGAAACUCACGGUUGAACCUCCCCCGUUUCCAGUUUCUUAGUUGUUCUAAUACCAAAAGGAACCUCCUGAGGGUAUUAACACGACGUUUAUCUUACAGGGCGAUAUUUACUUCUAACCGGUUACCGUUGUGUCGUGUCCUGGGGCUUGUGUGUACGUGUGCGAAGGAUAGUUCUACUUUUCUCCGGAUGAUCAUCAUGAAACCAGGAACAAGACGGAGACACACCGUCUGUGUCGAUGGCCGUUGUUCGGGUUUGUGGGAUAACUCAAACUAGUUAACCUUUAUAGGUCCUUUAUACAAGGUCGUUUUGUCGUACGUAGACGCUCGUUCUCGGGAAGAUCAAGAAGUCAGGUACCACCGAGUGUUCUAAUAGUCGCUUUCUCCCUAUUCUAGUAUCGUUACGGUCCGGUCUACCUCCUUCGCCUUAAGUGUGUUAUACGUCCUAUACAGUGCCACCUACGUUUACGACCUUCCCGAAACAAGAUGAUAAAACGACUCCGAGGAGUUCUAGGAAGGUUGUUUGGUGAUCAGGAUACCUACUUACCUCCAUACAAUAUACACGAGACGAAUAGGUAUUUGAACGUCAUAUUAAAUUGGUAUUUUGAUACACUCACUCUGGUCGUUGCUACGUCUACACGUGAACUCUAACUUAGGACAAUGUUUGGAAGAAACUCCUGAUAACGAUUACUCCAAACGUCCGGGACCAACAAGUAGGAAACCUCGACCUCGGUACGAUCUUGAACCUGGGAAGAGACAGGUAUCACUAUUGUUCUGUGACAUGUUCUUUUUUGUACGUACCUUGUGUCCAUUUAAGUAAGGUCGGACGGGUAUAAAUUAACAAUUGUUUCUCCAGCGUAAAUAUGGGUCUACUUAAAUGGUCAGAAGUAGGUGUUUACGUCAUCGUUUAUACGACAAACAACUCUAGGGUCGGCCACAACCCAUGAGUAUGAGGUUGUGCUGUAGUCUGAUAGUGUUGUGACCACUGUUUUCUUCGUGUCUACUACGCAUGUGGAAGGAACAGUUAACCGACCUCUCUAAAGGGUUCAUGGCUCUGGCACUAAAGAAGUAUUGGCCGCUCUCAAUACGACCGGUGAUACAUGGUCUCGAUCGAUUAAACUAAUAAAGAUUGUUGUCUCGGUCUCCGCGCUGAUUACAGUUCGAAUUUCCACAACGACAUUCACAAAUUGUUAUUGACAAAACUUUGAAGAUUACGGUCAUUCUAAGAUUAGUUACUAUGGUGAGACUUUAAACCAGUCUAGCCGUUGCGUCUGAACGUUAUGUUAAACUGAGAUUCUCGCUGCAAACUGAUGAAGACCUACGUACGAUACUAAAGACCUUUUUGGAUGUCUUGACAUGUCCGGUUGACACCGAAGUUGCCCUGUAUAUGAUUUCUAACACUAUUACGGUACUUGAACCGGUAUUUCCUCUUCCCAUUACAACUACUGAUGUUGUAGAUACGUGGUUAUACGGCACUACGGAGGUCAGGAGAGUCUAGUUCACUGGGCCAUAUGUGUUAAUUUGUGUAAUUAGGUGUAUAAACAGUUUAGGGCAAAGAAUGUAUAUACGGAGAACCCUAUGACUUAAACACCGACUGGUUACAUUACAUUCCACCACAAGCCACUAGGUACGUGUUUAGUGAUACAGAGUAGAAUAGAUUUAGCAGGACUCCAGGUUUCUCGGGAUGUGCGUUUGUGUUGUCCCAACUUGAUGGGUACCUGCCUAACGUCCAUAUUUCUAACCUUAUGGGUUCAUCCAAAGUUUAAAAACGUCGGUUAAAAUCCGUGUUAAUAAAGGGUCGUUAUUAAGGUAAGAAAACAAAAGAAUCCCGAUAGACUUUUCCAUUAGGUAUGUAAAUUCAUGUUUAAUGUUUAAUAAAUAUACUGACUGGGAUUCUUGAAGUAGUGAUCUCUUCAUGAACAUUCGGAGGGUAGUGAGUGAAGGCUAAACGAAAUGACGGUUUUUCCAUGGAUAUUAGAUAUAUUCGGUCGGUAGUUUCUAAUUCUGAGACACUUGGUGUCUGGUGCCAUCCAUAAUUUUUCACCUGUUAUUUCUCCCGUAUUACCGUAUUCUAAGAAGUGGGAUAUGUCUGAUAUGAAAACGAACACGUCCCCGUAGUUAGACUUUAAUACGUAUUUGGAAAAAAUGACGACCCUUAAAAGAGUCAGAAGCCAUAGUUCGUUGGAGCAUGAUUUCCUUAUAGUUCCUUUUAAGCUAUUGACCUUUCGUUAGUUGAACAUAAUCUGAAUCUUAUACAAGGAUUAGCUAAAGUUACAGAGUGAGUUCGUCAGUUGAACAUAAGCUAUUGACCUUUCUAAGUGGCCUCUGGCACGACGGUAGCUAGUCCUUUGAGUAAAGUUCACCGUGUUCCCAUACCGACAUGUCCAUGAGGAUAUAUAUAUCGGGGCCCUAAGACCAAGAGUUCAUGGCUUCGUUAGUUAACAAUUACAGAAUAAUUAGGGACUAGUUGACGUGGGAACACAUGGUCACCACUAUACCUACGUCAUACAAGACACUGGAGCUGGGUUAUGCGUGACCUGUAAGAACUGGACGGGUGUCUUUGUAGAACCGCGGGUACCGCGCAGUUGUUACUCCAUUUCUUAGGUGCCGACUAGUGGACUGAUUGCGACUUGACUUGUCAUCUCUUGAAGUCUAAUGUAAUAAUAAAGGAUUAAGGAUAUCGAUGUACGCUUACUUCGAUUUUUAACAAAUGACCAAGGAAGGACUUUACCGUCCAACGGCCGAUACACCAACCCAUGUUCCCGGACCACAAACGUUGUCAGUUUCCUCGCCCCGUGUACCAGGGAAUGAUAGUCGGGGCGUCCCGGGAUCGCGAUAAGAGUAGGAAGGAUCUUCCUUUCGAAGGCGGUGUUACUAGAUUAACAAUCCCUAUUUAAUCGUGUAUAGAUAACAUUUUGCAGCGAUCGCUUCAGGCUGGGGUUCUUCAGCGUAGGGAAGAGAGAGAAAUGUACAUUUACAGUAGGAAACCUACGUAAGGGCGUCUGUACGUAUAUAUAGGAAACAUAGUGACUUUAGCUACUACGAACCGGUAAGUGAAGGAAGGUCAGAGCAAAAUGAAAUAUUAAAAAUCUAGUAGGCCUUCCGAGUUUUCCGGGAAGGCCAUAUAUACUUUGGUGUUUAAGGUUUGUUUCCAGCUCCUAAGCCUUCGAUGUCGUUCUUGCAGAUCUUUCCGAUUUCAUCGAUCUUCAUCGUCUAUUGAUCUGUGUAGGUUUCGGAUAGUGGGUUUAAUUUCGUAUACUUUGGGUCACGAUCCGCCUUUCUGUAGAAGAUCAUCAAUCCGUCGAGAGGCAGUAUACCGAACGUAAAGGUCGCCGUGGUGGUUACAGCUCCUUCAGGACCAGAAGGAGUAGCCGCUGACCCAACCUCUCGGCCGGUCGAGGUCUCCCCUUCGACCCGACUCACCCCUCCAGAAGCCGUGGGACCAAUCGUGUCAACCCCUCUUACCUGCGCUUCCUCGUCAUGGGUGUCCUUAUAGAUCUGUCCCGAGGUCAUUACCUUUACGAAAAUUCGGGACAUGUUACCCUCCACGAAUCCCCUCCACGAAUCUCUUUAUUUGGUCUGAAAGGAAUUCGUGGCCACGAAUAAACAUGUCCCAUCUGCGAAUUGAUUCGCAGAGAGGACAUCUUUAUCCGUGGCCACGAAGUCUUUUAGAGCCAAAUAAAAAGAUUCGUGGGGAGAUUCGUAGAGGGUAACAUGUUCCGGAGAUUUGUAUCGUGGGAGUCACGGUAACAGAUCGGGGCAAUGGGGUGUCUGUCAUCGCCUCGAAGUGUGUUUAACGAACCACCCGGUACGAUUUCUUGUGUGUUUUAUAAGUUUGAUUUAGUAAACGUAAUGUUUGAUUUAGAAGAACAAACAAUGUUCUAGUUCACUCGUCUAAUUUUCUUCAAUACGGUUUUUUAAAUGAUGAGGGAAUGUAACAUGUCUCCUACGCACCCUCACACACUAUUAAACGGUCCGUGAUGUUAAAACUGACCGGAACGUGUAUCGAUGUAUAUGAUGUUAAACAUUAGACAUUUGUUGUUAAUUCACUUAACAAAUACGAUCGUAUAACCAUUGCUCUACUUAUCUACUACUGGACUCACUUUAAAUCCCCUUCUUCUUGCGCAGUUUUUUUAAAUCCCCUGGUUUUAACCCUUACUAAGUUUCUUUAAUAUACACUUAUAACGUCACUAAGUCCUCUUAACCUCUCUAACUCCCAUGCUAUCCUAGUUUAAGUUCUUCCUCGAGUAAAAACCCACAACGGACUCAACGGCCACCAUCGAUGCACAUGAACACCGGCGCACCUCAGCACCCGACCGGCUGAGGCUGAGCGGGACGACGACACACGCCACACGGCCACCCGGCAGGCCGGCACCCGCCGCCGACUACACACGGCGUCAGGGGCACCGGCCACCCACCGCGGCGCCCUCCUCGUGCGGCGACGACUACCUGGGUUUUUUUUUUUCCUUACGUGCGCGGCUCGAUACCCCAAGAAGAGAGUAUCGCUUCCCCUCCUCCAUCUUUCUUUCUCUACUCUUGUGCAACCCACCACUCCUCUACUCGCUUCUCCUUCCGGUGCCCUUACU
rnacentral:rRNA from 1 species